rnacentral:rRNA from 1 species
AGUGAACGCUGGCGGUAGGCCUAACACAUGCAAGUCGAACGGCAGCACAGUAAGAGCUUGCUCUUACGGGUGGCGAGUGGCGGACGGGUGAGGAAUACAUCGGAAUCUACUUUUUCGUGGGGGAUAACGUAGGGAAACUUACGCUAAUACCGCAUACGACCUACGGGUGAAAGCAGGGGAUCUUCGGACCUUGCGCGAUUGAAUGAGCCGAUGUCGGAUUAGCUAGUUGGCGGGGUAAAGGCCCACCAAGGCGACGAUCCGUAGCUGGUCUGAGAGGAUGAGCAGACCCACUGGAACUGGGACACGGUCCAAACUCCUACGGGAGGCAGCAGUGGGGAAUUUUGGAAAAGGGGCGAAAGCCGUAUCCAGCCAUACCGGGUGGGUGAAGAAGGCCUUCGGGUUGUAAAGCCCUUUUGUUGGGAAAGAAAAGCAGCAGGUUAAUCCCCCGCUGUUCUGACGGUACCAAAAAAAUAAGCACCGGCUAACUUCGU